GGCGGACGGGUGAGUAACGCGUAGAAAUCUGCCUGGUAGUGGGGGAUAGCCCAGAGAAAUUUGGAUUAAUACCGCAUACGCCCUACGGGGGAAAGCAGGGGACCUUCGGGCCUUGCGCUAUCAGAUGAGUCUGCGUCGGAUUAGCUUGUUGGUGAGGUAAUGGCUCACCAAGGCGACGAUCCGUAGCUGGUCUGAGAGGAUGAUCAGCCACACUGGGACUGAGACACGGCCCAGACUCCUACGGGAGGCAGCAGUGGGGAAUAUUGCACAAUGGGCGAAAGCCUGAUGCAGCCAUGCCGCGUGUGUGAAGAAGGCCUUAGGGUUGUAAAGCACUUUCAGCAGUGGGGAAAGGUUGUAGCCUAAUACGCUACAGCUGUGACGUUAACUGCAGAAGAAGGACCGGCUAACUCCGUGCCAGCAGCCGCGGUAAUACGGAGGGUCCGAGCGUUAAUCGGAAUUACUGGGCGUAAAGCGCGC
rnacentral:rRNA from 1 species